ACAGCCCCCUCUCAGCAGGACGCGGAAAGGGCAGAGUCCAUGUCUCUUGCAUAUACUAUAAAGAAAGCGCGUUCCCAGCGGCGCCCCGACAGCCCUUAGGCAGACGUCCCGCAGAGUCCCAAGUCCCCACGGUGGGCCCGCGGGCUCCUGAGCUGUCCAGGCCCCUAAACUAUCACAAGGAGGAUAUUUGAUGACCGUCUUUCUUCCCUCGCUCUCUCCCAACAAAGGAAUAAACUGAUGCUCAAAGAGGUUAAAUAUGUUGCCCAGGAUUGCACAGCUGGUGGUGUGAAGAAGCAGAUGAAUUUGAAAAUGCAGGAGGAAGAUAUUUAUUUAAUGAAGGAUCUGAGAAAGCAUCACAUCAUGGAAAAAUGGGUUUUGAGCUAGACCUUCAGGAUGAAUUGGAGGAUUCCAGGGGAUUCCGUGUCGGAGCCCACACCAGAGGCUGGAAAGAAAGAGGUUGGACACGCAUUUGCCCCUUGCCCUGGACACCCUGAUGCUGGGGAGCUGGCACCAUCUGGGAGGAGAAUCACAGUGUCAGAGGACAGCAGAGACCUUCUGCAUCCUGUCACCUGCCCUCAUGCCGCAUAAAGAGAAAGCUGCCAGGCACAGGCCUCCCAGGAAGGGAUUGAUUCCAACGUAUCUCUGUCAUUUGUCCCAUAUCUGCUUUUUAAGUACGCAGACUAAGCCAGACCCUCAUGACUAAGUAUGUACACUGGUGAACAAAAAGACUUCCCAGGUCCUAGAGCAAAGAUGAGGAUGAAUCCUUCCAUUCGGGUGUAAGUUUCUCACCAAAAGAGAUCCAGGCCUCCUGUUUCCUCACUAGUGGAUCUUAAGGGCAUCUCUGCCUUGACAACCCUAACACUAAUAUCUAACACUCAAAACAUUCCUUUUUCUCAGCAUAAUGUUACUGGUAAAAUAUAUUUUUUAUAUAUUAGCCCUGCCCUUCUUACACGGGGGUGCAGUGGGCUUGCUCCGGCUAGUUUGAGGCCACUAGCCUUAAACACUUUGUGUUCACUCUCUGAAUAACCCAAGGAAAUGGCCAGUACAAAUUCUUUGGAUUCAGCUUCUGCCUGACAGAGGGAGGUAAGAGUAGUGGUCGGGGUGUGGGAGUUUCACUUUCUCAAUGCCCGAACCUCAGUUAGCACUUUAGAGGACAGAGGGAAGAUUCUGAAAUUUUCUGUGUAGGAAUUCAAAAUGAUUACUUGACUAAAUUUGCAUUUCUGAGACAAGCAUUUGUAAUCACCCCUAAAUAAAUUAUAAAUUUCAUUCUGUCA